rnacentral:rRNA from 1 species
GAUGAACGCUGGCGGCGUGCCUAACACAUGCAAGUCGAGCGAUUUACUUCGGUAAAGAGCGGCGGACGGGUGAGUAACGCGUAGGUAACCUGCCCUGUACACACGGAUAACAUACCGAAAGGUAUGCUAAUACGAGAUAAUAUACUUUUAUCGCAUGGUAGAAGUAUCAAAGCUCUGGCGGUACAGGAUGGACCCGCGUCUGAUUAGCUAGUUGGUAAGGUAACGGCUUACCAAGGCGACGAUCAGUAGCCGACCUGAGAGGGUGAUCGGCCAUAUUGGAACUGAGACACGGUCCAAACUCCUACGGGAGGCAGCAGUGGGGAAUAUUGCACAAUGGGCGAAAGCCUGAUGCAGCAACGCCGCGUGAGCGAUGAAGGCCUUCGGGUCGUAAAGCUCUGUCCUCAAGGAAGAUAAUGACGGUACUUGAGGAGGAAGCCCCGGCUAACUACGUGCCAGCCGCCGCUGUAA